CACCAUACGGCCAUGCAGAACACACCGUGGGAACCGCUGUAGCCCGCAGUGUGGAUCACCAUGGCGAUGACGGCACAACCCAUCGCCAGCUGGCAAAGGCGGGUAGCGCCGAGAGGUGAGAGGAGCGCCCUCGUGUUCAGGUCUCUGCAGUGUAUGGAUGACAAUGAAAAAAAGAAAGGCCCAAUAUUUCCAAGCCAAAUGUGGAAAAGGAAAUGGUGGGUGUGAAGGAAACAUCUGACUGCACGUCACUUACAGAGGUAGAAACUGAGCAGCGGAUCCUCCAAGUGGCUCCUUACAAAAUCCGUUAAAGCCCCAACUAGAAAAAAAAAAAGAGAGCAUGCUUUUGUUUUGUGUUUAUGUUUUGCAAAGGUGCUGAAUUAUUUGGGAAAUUCAUCAAAGUGUUCCGUGCGCAGAAUGCAGCCUUUGCGAUUUGAAAAUUGCAUUCUACUACAUUUCUAUGUUAGUUUGAUUUUGAUGAAUUGUUCAGCUAUAUAUUAGACUGGAAUUCGUCUCUAAUUUGUUGUUGCUGUUGUGAACAAUUAUUAAGUCACAAGUAGCUUUAAUAUUACCGGCUGACAUGAAAAACUUGGGACACACACAAACCUGUUUCGAGGGGCCUGAAGAAGCCCUGUAAAACAUGUCGAUCUGGAAACUGGAUCCUCAGCACAACCUGGAGAAACAGUACGAGUGGUCAUAUAUGUUGGCAUGUGCCUCACAGCGGGAAUCAGCAUGUAUCAGGUGUACACACUUUGGGGUAUCUGUCCAACUUCUCCUUCAUCUGUGUUUCUCGAAGCGCUUGAGUCAUUAGCGGUGCCUCCUCCAACAAUUUCCUGUAGAGAAAAGGGAUAAAGAACAACGAGUUAUGAUUUGAUGAGUAGAAUAAAUACAAAGGUUGAUUCUAACUUUGCUUAGUGUAUUGUGUCAAAGAGGUACGAGACUAGUUCAAAAGUCAACACUUGCUGUCAGUUCAUCAAUAAUGUACCUUGAGAUAAAAAAGAUAAAAAUAACAUUGUAUGAUUGA